UCUUUAUAUCAAUAAAAAUUAAUUUUAAUUAAGUUUAUUUAAUUUAUUAUUUUUCUUGAUAUUUUAUUGGGGUAAUAAAAAGAUUUAAUUAAUUCUUUUUAAAAUUUAACAUUAAUUAAUGAUUAAUUGAUCCAAUAAUUUUGAUUAUAAGAUUAAGU
rnacentral:rRNA from 1 species